CAUCUUUCUGCUGAGUUCCUCAUAUGUGAGCUGCUGAAGUAUGAAUAGAAACAGCACUGGUCCACUGACUCUUGAUGAUCUCCUUGCACUAGAAACUCCUACAACAAGCUUCAUAAAUGUUAUGUCUCCAGUGAACCAAACAUGUUAUAGCUCUGGGCAACUCUCUGGGCUGCUGGUUUGGCCCUUAAGCUUAUACUGGACAGGAUAUGGAGGACCACUGGACAGGAGAUGGGAAUGGCUGUACCUGAGAGUGUGGAUGUGCUCUAUUAACCACUGCAGAAUAAUACACCACAAAUGUACUGCAGAGCUGGCUGAAGCAAUUUCUUCCUAUAUAGCUUGUGAUGUAAAAUAGUUUUGAGACAUUCCACGAAGAAUAGUUCUCUACAAACAUAUGGACACUCAGCAUGAAAUCAAUGCAGCAAGAAAAGGUUGGCCAGCCCCUCUGGUCCUGAUCCAGCUGAGCACUUCAACACACAGAGGCUUCUUUUGGCUUCAUCUCCCAUGUUCGAGGACGAGAUCCUGGGAGGGGACACGAGUAACCAGCUGACCCACACUGACCAAGGGGAUAUUCCAUAGUCAACCCAGAUAUAAAAGCUGAGGCGAGGAGCUGGACAGGAGGAUUUGUUGUCUCUGAUGGCUGCCUGCUGACAACCCUUACGCGUGCUGGAGCCCUGCUGCUCAGAGAAGUGGCUGACCAUCGCUGCUUAUGGGAAGUAGAGA